UGGACAAUGGGCGCAAGCCUGAUCCAGCCAUACCGCGUGGGUGAAGAAGGCCUUCGGGUUGUAAAGCCCUUUUGUUGGGAAAGAAAAGCAGCCGGUUAAUACCCGGUUGUUCUGACGGUACCCAAAGAAUAAGCACCGGCUAACUUCGUGCCAGCAGCCGCGGUAAUACGAAGGGUGCAAGCGUUACUCGGAAUUACUGGGCGUAAAGCGUGCGUAGGUGGUUGUUUAAGUCUGUCGUGAAAGCCCUGGGCUCAACCUGGGAAUGGCGAUGGAAACUGGGCGACUAGAGUGUGGCAGAGGGUAGUGGAAUUCCUGGUGUAGCAGUGAAAUGCGUAGAGAUCAGGAGGAACAUCCGUGGCGAAGGCGACUGCCUGGGCCAACACUGACACUGAGGCACGAAAGCGUGGGGAGCAAACAGGAUUAGAUACCCUGGUAGUCCACGCCCUAAACGAUGCGAACUGGAUGUUGGGUGCAAUUUGGCACGCAGUAUCGAAGCUAACGCGUUAAGUUCGCCGCCUGG
rnacentral:rRNA from 1 species